rnacentral:rRNA from 1 species
UGCGCAGGCGGGAAAUUAAGUCAGUGGUGAAAUCCUGCAGCUUAACUGUAGAAUUGCCAUUGAUACUGAUUUUCUUGAGUGCAGUUGAGGUGGGCGGAAUGUGUAAUGUAGCGGUGAAAUGCUUAGAUAUUACACAGAACACCGAUUGCGUAGGCAGCUCACUAAACUGUUACUGACGCUCAGGCACGAAAGCGUGGGGAGCGAACAGGAUUAGAUACCCUGGUAGUC